UACGUAGGGGGCAAGCGUUGUCCGGAUUUAUUGGGCGUAAAGAGCUCGUAGGCGGUUUGUCGCGUCGACUGUGAAAACCCGAGGCUUAACCUCGGGCCUGCAGUCGAUACGGGCAGACUAGAGUUCGGUAGGGGAGACUGGAAUUCCUGGUGUAGCGGUGAAAUGCGCAGAUAUCAGGAGGAACACCGGUGGCGAAGGCGGGUCUCUGGGCCGAUACUGACGCUGAGGAGCGAAAGCGUGGGGAGCGAACAGG
rnacentral:rRNA from 1 species